GGCAGGAGGUUCAUCUGAUGGACAGGUCUACGAUCUGAGAGGUAUAAAUGUAGGCCGGCAUACAGAUCCUCUCUAUCAAGAGAAAGUGGUGUCUUGGUGGCUCCUGCCCCAGGAACUACAAAAAUAAAAUAAAAAAACAUGAGCUCUUCACCAGAAAACUCUGACCUUAAUCUACCACAAACUGACCAUAUUCAUCCAAUGAAGAAGGCUUUGCAGGAUGCAAAGAAUCUGGAUGAUUCGUGGAUAAAAGAAGAAAGUGACACUAUCGAACUUAUUGAUUUG